CUUAGGAAAGUAACAGGCUCUGAACAUGGAAUAAUUUUGCAAUGGGGUUUGUUUGGCUUUACAGUUAAAAGAAAACAUUUUUAGUGUCUUGGGGGAAAAAUCUUUAUCUCAUGUCCUGUUUGUUUAAUUUUAUUUAGAUAUUUCUAUCCCACUUUUCCCCUACAGGACUGCAAGUGAUGAGCAUUAUCCUGCUCCACUUAUUUUAUCAUCACAACCAUUAAUCCAGGGUCUCAAGACAAGCUGAGAAACAGUGGCUGGACCAAGACCACCCAGAGAGCUUCACAGAUAGGAACUGNCCAGACCCACAAAAUUCAGUUCAGGACACACUGGUGAACUUUUCUAAAAGAUUCUCUUCCUUCUGUGAU
rnacentral:lncRNA from 1 species